GACGAACGCUGGCGGCGUGCUUAACACAUGCAAGUCGAACGGUGACCCAUCUUCGGAUGGCGAUCAGUGGCGAACGGGUGAGUAACACGUGGGCAACCUGCCCCUGACUCUGGGAUAACUCCUCGAAAGAGGUGCUAAUACCGGAUAUCACUUCCCACGACAUCGUGGGUAGUUGAAAGUUUUUCGGUCAGGGAUGGGCCCGCGGCCUAUCAGCUAGUUGGUGGGGUAAUGGCCUACCAAGGCGACGACGGGUAGCCGGCCUGAGAGGGCGACCGGCCACACUGGGACUGAGACACGGCCCAGACUCCUACGGGAGGCAGCAGUGGGGAAUAUUGCGCAAUGGGCGAAAGCCUGACGCAGCAACGCCGCGUGAGGGAUGACGGCCUUCGGGUUGUAAACCUCUUUCAGCAGGGACGAAGCGAAAGUGACUGUACCUGCAGAAGAAGCGCCGGCUAACUACGUG
rnacentral:rRNA from 1 species